GCGGAGAUGGUGCAAUGGAAGCACAAGGGGCUCAUAACUCCUAGACGAGGUUCAAAUCCUCUGUCCGCA
rnacentral:tRNA from 1 species